UAUUACUUUCUACCUUUCUCAAGAACCUAGCUGGUAUUAGUAUGUAGUAUUCUUAACGUUUAAAUGGUCUUGAUUUUGUUUUUAAAUGCAUUGUACUAAAAUGUAUAUAAAUAAAUAAAUAAAUAAAUAUUUGUCUGAUAAUUUCAUAUUUUGACUGCACUACAUAUUUAUGCCAAGAGUUGUUAGGGAGCUGUGGAACUAAGAAUAGAUGGGUCCAUGGCCCAGCACACAGUCUUUGAGUGCCUCAGGCAAGUGUCUGAGUCAGCCUCAUAUAUUGACUAAAUUUAUAAAAUUUCCACAAAACCGACAAGAAAGGACUCUUAUUAAAGAACAAAUCAAAUAAUUAAACAACUACUAACUCGCUAGAGCUGCCAUAACCAACACUGCAUCACGCAUGGAAGAUUAACUACCAAAUAUAUGUUAUCGGAAAAUAAAACAUUAUUACAAUCAUUUUUA